GAAGGUUGGGUAACACUAACUGGAGGACCGAACCGACUAAUGUUGAAAAAUUAGCGGAUGACCUGUGGCUGGGGGUGAAAGGCCAAUCAAACCGGGAGAUAGCUGGUUCUCCCCGAAAGCUAUUUAGGUAGCGCCUCGUGAAUUCAUCUCCGGGGGUAGAGCACUGUUUCGGCUAGGGGGCCAUCCCGGCUUACCAACCCGAUGCAAACUGCGAAUACCGGAGAAUGUUAUCACGGGAGACACACGGCGGGUGCUAACGUCCGUCGUGAAGAGGGAAACAACCCAGACCGCCAGCUAAGGUCCCAAAGUCAUGGUUAAGUGGGAAACGAUGUGGGAAGGCCCAGACAGCCAGGAUGUUGGCUUAGAAGCAGCCAUCAUUUAAAGAAAGCGUAAUAGCUCACUGGUCGAGUCGGCCUGCGCGGAAGAUGUAACGGGGCUAAACCAUGCACCGAAGCUGCGGCAGCGAACGUAUCACCCAAGACAACUUUACGGAGUUGACGAUUGACGGAGCGAAGCGACGUCAAAGCGUUCAUUAAAGUCGAGUUGGCUUAGGGAUACGUUCGUUGGGUAGGGGAGCGUUCUGUAAGCCUGUGAAGGUGUGUCGUGAGGCAUGCUGGAGGUAUCAGAAGUGCGAAUGCUGACAUAAGUAACGAUAAAGCGGGUGAAAAGCCCGCUCGCCGGAAGACCAAGGGUUCCUGUCCAACGUUAAUCGGGGCAGGGUGAGUCGACCCCUAAGGCGAGGCCGAAAGGCGUAGUCGAUGGGAAACGGGUUAAUAUUCCCGUACUUGGUGUUACUGCGAAGGGGGGACGGAGAAGGCUAUGUUGGCCGGGCGACGGUUGUCCCGGUUUAAGCGUGUAGGUGUGUGUUCCAGGUAAAUCCGGUUCACUUUAACACUGAGGCGUGACGACGAGGCACUAC
rnacentral:rRNA from 1 species